GAUGAACGCUGGCGGUAUGCCCAACACAUGCAAGUCGUACGAGAGUUUUUAACUCUAGUGGCGGACGGGUGAGUAACACGUGAGAAUUUGCCUUUAGGAGGGGGACAACAAUCGGAAACGAAUGCUAAUACCCCAUAUGCUUUCGAGUGAAAUGGAUUUUAUCCGCCUAGAGAGAAGCUCGCGGCUGAUUAGCUUGUUGGUAAGGUAAUGGCUCACCAAGGCGACGAUCAGUAUCUGGUUUGAGAGGACGAUCAGACACACUGGAACUGAGACACGGUCCAGACUCCUACGGGAGGCAGCAGUGGGGAAUUUUCCGCAAUGGGCGAAAGCCUGACGGAGCAAUACCGCGUGAGGGAUGACGGCCUAUGGGUUGUAAACCUCUUUUUUCAGGGAGGAAUAAAUGACGUGUACCUGAGGAAUAAGCAUCGGCUAACUCCGUG
rnacentral:rRNA from 1 species